CUUCCUGUGGUCAGGGAGCUCCCAGUACUGAGGACCUUGGAGCCAACCCACGUUUAUGGAGAUGAGCCAACCUCCAGCAAUAAAUCAGAAAUGGGAAAGGCUUGAGGCUUGUCGGCCAUGAAAUAUACAUGUUGAAGAGCAAAGGAGAGAAGUGCUUGGCCGACAAGGCUAAGACCUCACACUUAGGAGUGACCCAAAUGUUUCCUGAAGAUGGUAGAAGAGUGAAAAAUCCCACAGGCUCUGUAAGUGACAUCAGAAGAGCAAGAGUUGGGGGAGAGCGUGAAGCUGGAAAGGGAAAGUUUUCAAGUGAUGAAGAUGAGUAAAUGAUGCAUUCCUGGACUCUUCUCAUUUCAUAGGCCGGAGGGGCUAAAGGAAUUGGAUUGGGAGCCAACAAGAAUUUGUUUAGAGGUUUCUAGUAUAAUAUAAUUACUUCAACACAUAUGUAUUGAGUGCCUUCUAUGCUCCAGAUCCUGUUCUAGGCACUGGGGAUACAUCAGUGAAUAAAAUAGACAAAAAUCCCAGCUCCAUGGAGCUUAUAUUCUAGCAAGGGGAGAAAAAUAACAUAGAUAAGAGAAUAAGUUCUGUAGUAUGUUAGAAAAUAGAUGUUAAGGAAGAAAGAAAAAGUAGAGCAGGAAUGACUGCUUAGUGGACAUUCACGAGGUUCCAGUGUGCUGAGCAUUUUACAUGCAUUAUUUCAUUCAAUCUUUGCAAGAGUGUUAGAGGAUUCCCAUGUCACAGAUGAAGAAACUGAGGUUGAGUAAAGUGAAGUGAUUUGUCAAAGGUCAUGCUUCAGUAAUAGUAGAAGCAGGAUUGGAACUCCUCAGACUGUUGACCACACCCACGUGGCAUGAGAAAGGCACCAGGGGCCACCAUCUUCCUUACCCAUCUCCCAUCCUUGUCUGAAGGUGGGUUGAAGCGUCGCCCUUUGGUCAUUCUCUCCAGGAAGCUGAAUGUGGCUGAGAUUGGCUCCCUCACCUCUCCAUAAGCUCUACAUGUCUGGGAAGCUGCUUCCUAAACUUCAUAAGCUCUACACGUCUGGGAAGCUCCUCCUCCUCCUUGUUCCUGAUCUUUACUUCUCAGCCUCUUCCAGGAGGGGAAGGUGCGGGUGCCCAUUGUUGUCAUGGAAUGGGAACUCACCCAUCACAAUGGGCAAAGGAGUCUUCUAAACCCUCGGAGGAUUCUUGCCACUGGUUCCUUGCAGCUGUGACUCCCCAGGGUAAGAGGCAAAGAGCCACCAGGUCCCAGCUGAGGAAGCCCUGUGGUCAGCUCAGACAGGGAUGCGGACUGAAGCCGAAGCAGGUGUUAGUAAUUGUCGUACCUACAGACGAGGAAACCGAGCCUCCAUGAAGUGAAGUGACUCACCCACAGUCACACAGCUAAUAUAUGCCAGAGCCCACAGCAGAACCCAGACGUACUGAGGCCAAGUUCCAUGCCAGCAUAAAACAGGGCCUGCUGAAAUGCCUAGCGCUUCAACAAGGUGAGCUCUUGUAGGCCAGGGGCCAAAUGACGGACAUCAUGUGCCACCAACACCACACAGAUGAAGGCGGUGGGCCAGGGCAGAGUUCUGGUUCUCCUGCAUCCUAAGAUGAAAGCUAAAGUCAGAAAGGAGGGAGGAAGACAAUGACGACAUUUAAAACCUAAAAACAGCGGCCAUUUCCAACUCAGUAUUUCACACACAUUCACUUUGUCUCAAC
rnacentral:lncRNA from 10 species